rnacentral:rRNA from 1 species
AUUGAACGCUGGCGGCAGGCCUAACACAUGCAAGUCGAACGGUAACAGAAAGCAGCUUGCUGCUUUGCUGACGAGUGGCGGACGGGUGAGUAAUGUCUGGGAAACUGCCUGAUGGAGGGGGAUAACUACUGGAAACGGUAGCUAAUACCGCAUAACGUCGCAAGACCAAAGAGGGGGACCCUCGGGCCUCUUGCCAUCGGAUGUGCCCAGAUGGGAUUAGCUUGUUGGUGGGGUAACGGCUCACCAAGGCGACGAUCCCUAGCUGGUCUGAGAGGAUGACCAGCCACACUGGAACUGAGACACGGUCCAGACUCCUACGGGAGGCAGCAGUGGGGAAUAUUGCACAAUGGGCGCAAGCCUGAUGCAGCCAUGCCGCGUGUAUGAAGAAGGCCUUCGGGUUGUAAAGUACUUUCAGCGGGGAGGAAGGGAGUAAAGUUAAUACCUUGGCUCAUUGACGUUACCCGCAGAAGAAGCACCGGCUAACUCCGUG